GAUGAAGAACGCAGCGAAAUGCGAUAAGUAAUGUGAAUUGCAGAAUUCAGUGAAUCAUCGAAUCUUUGAACGCACAUUGCGCCCCUUGGUAUUCCAAGGGGCAUGCCUGUUCGAGCGUCAUUAUAACCCUCAAGCUCAGCUUGGUGUUGGGGCCUGCUGCACUGGCAGCCCUUAAAAUCAGUGGCGGCGCCAUCUGGCUCUAAGCGUAGUAAUUCUUCUCGCUAUGGAGUCCUGGUGGAUGCUUGCCAUCAACCCCCAAUUUUUCUAUGGUUGACCUCGGAUCAGGUAGGGAUACCCGCUGAACUUAAGCAUAUCAAUAAGCGGAGGA
rnacentral:misc_RNA from 1 species